CGAAAUUCUGCAUAGAUGGAGAUAAAAGCUCUACUACAUGCAAAGAGGGCAUUUUUUCCCCUUUACCACAAAAUAUUGAUGAAGUGCUUUAUUGAGGUGGAGAUCUCAUUAAUUAUUUGAUUUACAGAAAAAGAAGGCAGAGGGAAAUGUGUGCCUGGCUAAUACCAUGAUGUACCAUCUUGAGACUUAAGAUCUUUUUAAUGUAUUCAUCAGGGGUACAUCUGAAAGGGGAAAGAGUGAGCUGAAUGGGCCCAUUAAUUUAAUUGAAGCAGCUCAGACAAGAGAUAAAACAUCCUAGCCUGCUUCUUUUCAUACAGCAUGAGCGCUGUAAGUAAACAGGCAGAGAUCCAAACACACCAAAAAGAAAUAAAGGUACAUGAAGACCCUAGAGACUUCAAGGCCAUGGGACAUCAACAGAUGCAGAGGUGAAUUAACCCUGAAGAGGCCCUCUCUUCAUGCACCACCAUGUCAGUGUUCUGCGGGCACUGCCUAGGCUUUAUUGUGAAACUGAAGGACUCUGAGGUUACAUGACUGCCUCAUCCUUCUUUCAUUGGCUAACACAUGGACUUUGUCAAGUUCAACUGCCGAUGUCAUCCCAUUGGCCAGAAAGUAUUCAUGGAAGGAGAGAAAAUUCUCUCCUCUGGAACAUGAUCCAACAUUCAGCACUGGCACAGGACAACAUUAACCAGAGACGUCUACUCUCCUGACCAAUGAGGUGCAGACUCCAGGGCAAUGCUUCACCACAACUCUUACCUGAUGUACUCAAAGACGAUUGCAUCCAGAUGCCAUCAACAAAAGUCUGAGUUUUGCCCUUGCCAGUACCAGAGAUGGAUAAUGCUUCACUGUGUAGGGAGGAUUUGAAUGGCGAAGAGCCUGGAUAGGAGAAAAGACAAGUUAAUUAACCUGUCAAAUCAUUCUGUUCAGAGAACAUAAAUUCAAAGGAAAUUGCAUAAUGAAAUAACAUUUCCAUUUUCUUGGUUUUUUUUGUAUUCUGAUUCAUUGUUCAAGAGGUACCUACAAAUUAGUAUGGUUUUGGCAAAGAUCAGAUAUAAUGUCUGAGGAAUUUUGCAAUGUAAAACAAGUUAUAUGAUUCUUAAAUUUGUAUGUGCUUAGGACUAACAGGAAAUGUAAUUCUGAUCCUUUACAAUGGUUACUAGAUAGAUAUCAAAUACUAGAACAUAUAUGAAAAAUGUUUAUAAUAGGCGUAAAAAAAUUAAAGACCUCUGUAAUGUAAAAGAAGAUGUUUAAAAAGUUAUUUACAUUUACUAAAUUACACUCUUAAUAACAAUGCAGAAUUUAUUUUAAAUAUAAUUAUGUUUCAAAUUUCUAAUCCUUUAGCUAAAGGAUUAGCAAGCUAUGGUCCACUGCCUGUUUUUGUAAAUAAAGUUUUAUUGAAACACAACUUCUCUCUUUGUUUACUUGUUGUUGACGGCUGCUUUUGUGCAACAACAGCAAGGCUGAGUAGUUGUAAUACACUGCAUGUUUCUCAAAGCAUAAAAUACAUAUUAUCCGACCUCUUUACAGAAAAUAUUUGCGGACCCCUGCUUUAGACCAUUACUUGAAUCAGAUGUAAAAUAUGUCAAAAUCUCCAUAAAACAUCAUAGCAAAAUUAACACUGAAAAAUCGCCA
rnacentral:lncRNA from 1 species